rnacentral:rRNA from 1 species
GUCCAUGCCGUAACGUUGGCACUAGGUGUGGGUCCAUUCCACGGAUUCCGCGCAGUAGCAAACGCAUUAAGUGCCCCGCCUGGGAGUACGGCCGCAAGGCUAAACUCAAAGGAAUUGACGGGGCCCGGCACAAGCGGCGGAGCAUGCGGAUUAAUUCGAUGCAACGCGAAGAACCUUACCAAGGCUUGACAUACUUGAGAAGCCACCAGAGAUGGUGGUCUCUUUGGACACUCAUGUACAGGUGGUGCAUGGUUGUCGU